rnacentral:tRNA from 1 species
GCCGCAGUGGCGGAACUGGCAGACGCGCAUCGUUCAGGUCGAUGUAUGGUUAUCCAUGUGCAGGUUCGAUUCCUGUCUGCGGCA